rnacentral:rRNA from 1 species
GGCCAGACUCCUACGGGAGGCAGCAGUGGGGAAUAUUGGGCAAUGGGCGCAAGCCUGACCCAGCAACGCCGCGUGAAGGAAGAAGGCUUUCGGGUUGUAAACUUCUUUUAUCAGGGACGAAGCAAGUGACGGUACCUGAUGAAUAAGCCACGGCUAACUACGUGCCAGCAGCCGCGGUAAUACGUAGGUGGCGAGCGUUAUCCGGAUUUACUGGGUGUAAAGGGCGUGUAGGCGGGAAUGCAAGUCAGAUGUGAAAACUAUGGGCUCAACCCAUAGCCUGCAUUUGAAACUGUAUUUCUUGAGUGCUGGAGAGGCAAUCGGAAUUCCGUGUGUAGCGGUGAAAUGCGUAGAUAUACGGGGGAACACCAGUGGCGAAGGCGAAUUGCUGGACAGUAACUGACGCUGAGGCGCGAAAGCGUGGGGAGCAAACAGGAUUAGAUACCCGCGUA